CCUACGGGUGACAGCAGUGGGGAAUAUUGCUCAAUGGGGGAAAGCCUGAAGCAGCCACGCCGCGUGGAGGAUGACGGUUUUAGGAUUGUUAACUCCUUUUUUUAGAGGAGUUUAUGACGGUAUCUAAAGACUACGCACAGGCUAACUCCGUGCCAGCAGCCGUGGUAAUACGGAGGGAGCAAGCGUUAUUCGGAAUAACUGGGCGUAAAGGGUGCGUAGGCGGGGUAAUAAGUCAGAUGUGAAAUGCUGUAGCUUAACUACAGAACUGCAUUUGAAACUGUUACUCUGGAGUGUGGGAGAGGUAGGUGGAAUGCGUGGUGUAGCGGUAAAAUGCUUAGAGAUCAAGAAGAAUACUGAUUGCGAAGGCAGCCUGCUGAAACAUUACUGACGCUGAUGCACGAAAGCGUGGGGAGCAAACAGGAUUAGAUACCCUUGUAGUC
rnacentral:rRNA from 1 species